GAAAGUUUCAAACCCAAGCUGCCAAUGUAUCCCUCUAAAGCCUGCAAAAAACAAAAAGGGAUUUGUUAUAGGUAUUACUUUUGUCAGCAAAAACCAUCCACAGAGAUAUAAUUAAUACCCCUUUUCUGAGUGUUAUCUAAAGUAAUGAUCUUUUACAACCCAUAAUGAGGAAGGAUUUCUGGGGGCUUUUCACAUCAACAACCCGUGAGAGAGGUGUGGACUAUUACUGAUAUGAAAUUUAUAAAGGUUGGAGCAACCGGGAGCCUCUCUUGCUUUACCGGAGGUUUCACAAGGAAAGUUCUCUUUCUUUUUUGAUUAUUAUUGAAAGGGUGAGAUUUCUUACUACUUUUUACUUUUUUGUGUCUAUGAUUCCUGGGUUUUUGGAGUAUUCUUUCAUUGCUUGUUUGCUUCCUUCUGCAUAGACCAUAUUUUUUUGGUCUGGGAUUUGAAUUGGUUCUCUGUUGAGUUUGCUUGCUUAUGUUAAUUUUUCUUGUGCUGAAAAUUUCCAACAGGCUCUUUUGUAGGUUAUUUCCAAUGGAGAUUUCUUCCAUUAGCGGAUUAAGUGAACUGGAAAUGGAGGAACCCAGCUUCAUAGACCAAUGGCCCAUGAACUCCAUUGAUGAUCUGAGCAUAUUACCGCUAGUAGCUGCAUUUGGGGAGAACAUGCAGCAUUCUUUAUCUCAUCACCCAAGUUUCAACCUCAAAACCUCCAUGGAAAUUUCUCCUACAGGCAUUGUUAGACCCUCAAAGCAACUGAAACCAAAUGGCUUCAAUUCAAGCAAAACUACAGAUUAUAAUUUGUCAAACCCACAAGUUGCUUUUUCCCCAAAUAUUCUUUCCUUUGGCAAUUCCACCAACCAGAAUCAAAUGGGAAUAGUGAAGCCUAAGGAGGAGGCUGUUUGUUCUAAAAGCAUCAAUACCCUCCCUUCUGAUAUACUGGCUUCUCCAGGCAACCAAAACUAUAUGUUUAAGGCUUGUCAGGGAGCCAAGAGGAUCAGUGACAACAGCAGCAGGCAUUCUCAAACCCAGGAUCACAUCAUAGCAGAAAGGAAGAGAAGAGAGAAGCUAAGCCAGAGAUUCAUAGCUUUGUCUGCUAUAGUUCCUGGCCUCAAGAAGAUGGAUAAGGCUUCUGUUCUUGGGGAUGCUAUCAAGUACUUGAAACAAUUGCAAGACAGAGUCCAGACACUUGAGGAGCAAACAAAGAAAAAAGCCAUGGAAUCUGUAGUCAUUGUGAAGAAAUCUCAGCUCUUUUGUGAGGAUGAAAGUUCUUCCUCAGAUGAGAUUUUCUCCAAAGGCCCUGUCGAUGAGCCUCUGCCGGAAAUUGAAGCAAGAAUCUGCGACAAAGAAGUGCUUAUAAGAAUUCACUGUGAGAAAAGGAAAGGAGUUCUGGAGAAAACUAUAGCAGAAAUUGAGAAACUUCACCUUUCAGUGGUCAAUAGCAGUGUUCUAACAUUUGGGAGUUCUGCUCUUGAUGUUACAAUCAUUGCUGAGAUGGAUAUGGAAUUUGGCAUGUCAGUGAAGGAUCUUGUGAUGAAUCUACACUCAGCUUUCAAGUUAUUCAUGUGAAGAAUCCCCAAGUAUUUUCAGUUCUUAUAAUAUGCAAGAAUCUCUUAUUUAAGUUCUAUGCUUCUGCUGGAAAGUUUGAGAGAUGCUAGAAAUAAGUCUCCUAUAGCUGUACACAGUUA
rnacentral:misc_RNA from 1 species